GCGAGAGUGGCGAAAUUGGCAGACGCGCAAGAUUCAGGUUCUUGUGGAUGACUAAAAGUCCAUAAGGGUUCAAGUCCCUUCUCUCGC
rnacentral:tRNA from 1 species